rnacentral:rRNA from 1 species
AUGAUACUGGUCAUGGAGGAUGCCCAAAAGAUUCGGAAGAACGUGAUAGACUACUUUGAAAAGGCGUUACCUCCUAACCUCAGUGAAGAGGAGAGAAGGAAGAUCUUUCACUUUGUGAUUAUCGGUGGUGGACCUACUGGGGUUGAAUUUGCGGUGGAGUUGCAUGAUUUUCUUGUCGAAGAUCUGGUGAAGCUAUAUCCUGCAAUUGAAGAAUUUGUGAAGAUAACAAUUAUGCAAUCAGGAGAACAUACAAUGAGGGUUGAACGUUCCUGCAGUAAUAACCUUAGUUUUGGGCAAGAUGAUCAAGGAGUAGCGAAACUUUAG